CUAAGUAUAAGCAACUAUACGGCGAAACUGCGAAUGGCUCAUUAAAUCAGUUAUUGUUUAUUUGAUAGCACCUUACUACAUGGAUAACCGUGGUAAUUCUAGAGCUAAUACAUGCUAAAAAUCCCGACUUCGGAAGGGAUGUAUUUAUUAGAUUAAAAACCAAUGCCCCUCGGGGCUCUCUGGUGAUUCAUGAUAACUUCUCGAAUCGCACGGCCUUGCGCCGGCGAUGGUUCAUUCAAAUUUCUGCCCUAUCAACUUUCGACGGCUGGGUCUUGGCCAGCCAUGGUGACAACGGGUAACGGAGGGUUAGGGCUCGACCCCGGAGAAGGAGCCUGAGAAACGGCUACUACGUCCAAGGAAGGCAGCAGGCGCGCAAAUUAACCAAUCCCGACACGGGGAGUUAGUGACGAUACAUACUGAUACAGGGCUCUUUUGGGUCUUGUAAUCGGAAUGAGUACAAUUUAAACCUCUUAACGAUCAACAAUUGGAGGGCAAGUCUGGUGCCAGCAGCCGCGGUAAUUCCAGCUCCAAUAGCGUAUAUUAAAGUUGUUGCAGUUAAAAAGCUCGUAGUUGAACCUUGGGCCUGGCUGGCCGGUCCGCCUCACCGCGUGCACUGGUCCGGCCGGGCCUUUCCCUCUGGGGAACCUCAUGCCCUUCACUGGGUGUGCUGGGGAACCAGGACUUUUACUUUGAACAAAUCAGAUCGCUUAAAGAAGGCCUAUGCUCGAAUAUAUUAGCAUGGAAUAAUAGAAUAGGACGUGUGGUUCUAUUUUGUUGGUUUCUAGGACCGCCGUAAUGAUUAAUAGGGACAGUCGGGGGCAUCAGUAUUCAAUUGUCAGAGGUGAAAUUCUUGGAUUUAUUGAAGACUAACUACUGCGAAAGCAUUUGCCAAGGAUGUUUUCAUUAAUCAGGAACGAAAGUUAGGGGAUCGAAGACGAUCAGAUACCGUCGUAGUCUUAACCAUAAACUAUGCCGACUAGGGAUCGGACGAUGUUAUUCAUUGACUCGUUCGGCACCUUUCACGAAAGUAAAGUUUUUGGGUUCUGGGGGGAGUAUGGUCGCAAGGCUGAAACUUAAAGAAAUUGACGGAAGGGCACCACCAGGGGUAAACCAGCAGUUAACUCUGCCCCGAAAAGCAGCCCGAGAGAAAGGGUUAGUGGUGAUCCUCGGCGCUAGGAUACCGGCGCCGGAACUAAGUGCUAGUCUGCCACGGGUUGACUCCCGGCGCAGGCGACACCUUCAAACUGCGGGAAGUUCCUAAAGCUUGCGUGACUAACCGGCGGGCGAAAGCUCGUCGGGGCCCGGCUAACCGCCACAGGGGAGUAACACUACGCAAGAUGACACAAUGGAUGAUCCGCAGCCAAGCUCCUACCGCCAGCCUCGCUAGCUACGGAGAAGGUUCAGAGACUUGAUGGAGGUGGUUGCAGCUGAUUGGGUUCUCACAACUCUGGCUUUCAGAGGGGCCCGGCGCUGCGGCUAAGAUAAAGUCCGGCUCUGUGGGAAACCACAGGGGUUAGAACGGGAGCCUGCGGCUUAAUUUGACUCAACACGGGGAAACUCACCAGGUCCAGACACAAGUAGGAUUGACAGAUUGAGAGCUCUUUCUUGAUUUUGUGGGUGGUGGUGCAUGGCCGUUCUUAGUUGGUGGAGUGAUUUGUCAGCUUAAUUGCGAUAACGAACGAGACCUUAACCUGCUAAAUAGCCCGCGUUGCCUUGGCAGCGCGCUGGCUUCUUAGAGGGACUAUCGGCUCAAGCCGAUGGAAGUUUGAGGCAAUAACAGGUCUGUGAUGCCCUUAGAUGUUCUGGGCCGCACGGUACGUACAUACUUCCCCUAAUCAACCCCCUAAACCCGAAGAAUUUUUACUAACUUUGUUUACAGCGCGCUACACUGACAGAGCCAGCGAGUACUCCCUUGGCCGAAAGGCCUGGGUAAUCUUGUUAAACUCUGUCGUGCUGGGGAUAGAGCAUUGCAAUUAUUGCUCUUCAACGAGGAAUCCCUAGUAAGCGCAAGUCAUCAGCUUGCGUUGAUUACGUCCCUGCCCUUUGUACACACCGCCCGUCGCUACUACCGAUUGAAUGGCUCAGUGAGGCUUUCGGACUGGCCCAGAGAGGUUGGCAACGACCACUCAGGGCCGGAAAGUUAUCCAA
rnacentral:rRNA from 1 species